rnacentral:pre_miRNA from 1 species
AUCACCUGGGGAUCUUGUUAAAAUGCAGAUUCAGGUUCAGUGGCUGGAGUUGGAGCCUAAGAGUGUGCAUUUCUAGCUAGUUCCCAGGUGAGGCUGA